AUUAUAAUGGAAAUCACUAAUGGAGCAAGAAUGCAUUCAGCAAUAUUGCACAAACACUUUAAAUGUGUGUGCGAAUAUCAAUUUAUUCUACUAACUGUGUGCAUUUAAUUUACAUCCUGCAGGGAUGAACUUAGUCCUUUAAAGAAACCCAUGCCACGCAAAGUAAUCAUUAGUCUAGGCAUGAGUGAAACAUUAAUCUGUCAGCUGAUCAGGGCCCUCUACUGGUAACUGAUGAUAAUGUUUGGUAGGAUGUACACUAGGAUAGACCUGGAGGGUGAAAUAAAGGGCUUUAUUCUAGUUUAAGUUACAGGAGACGCAUUAGAAAAGUCAACAUCAAUUUUCCGAUGAGACUGUGCUGGAUGUGCUGAAUAUAAUAUGUAUAUUAAUUGUUAUUAUAAAAGUAAUUUAAUAAUUGAUUUAAUAUGUUCAUGACAAAAUUUAAUAUACACACACACAUAUUGUUAAAUUAUUUUAUGCAUGACACGCUUGUUUACAAGAACAGACACGUGCAGGUAUGUUCACAAGGACACUCAUAAACACGAGCACAGUCUCAAUCGUCAAUUAUUAAACAAACACAAUACUGUUCAGCGAGGGAGAGAGAGAUCACACAAGCCACAGCCGUUUCACACAGACACACACACACGUCUGAUCCUGAACGCCGACACACUCCUGCUGGAUAUUUCUCAGGAUUCUUCUGCGUCCUGAUGACCUAUGACCUUCCCUGAUGGACACAGCCGCUCCUCCAAACAUCCCUGAUGAUCGAACACAUCCCAGGUCUCCCGGGCUCCAGGAGGCUCAUGAUUCCUCCAGACAGAGAGAAGCCACGACAUUACCCAGCAUUCCUGCAUACGACUCGGUCAGCAUCCUCACCGCCGGCCCGGCGAAUGACACGGACAGCAUCCAAACAUCCCAUCACACAUACGACACCAACAGCAACCGCACCCUGAACCCAGCGCUCGACACGGACACGGGUCCCGCUGGAGGCACCGGCCCGACCAGCAGCGUCCCACACAACCCUCCUCCAUACAGUCCUCCGGAUCCUAAAACAGUCUGCCUCAUGUACCCCCCACCGCUGCCACUACCAGCCCUCCUUCCUCCCGCCCUCCACCUACCCGUCCUACACUAUCUACGUGAACGGGCUGCCGCUGAGAGAUGAGCAGCCGCCGUUACCUAAAGAUUAUCUGGUGGAGUCUCUGCUGGUGACCAUCUUCUGCUGCCUCAUGAGUGGCCUCGUCGCGGUCAUGUACUCGUAUGAAGUGAGCACCUACAACACAACACAUUAGUACAAAGACAUACGUGUACAAAUAAUAUAGUGAUACUCAUUAAUGUCCUCUCUACAGACCCGCGCGGCGCUGACCAGGGGUGACAUCCGUGAAGCGGAGAAAACGUCCCAUAAGGCUCGUCUGCUUGUCAUGUUCAGUUUGAUGUUCGGCGUAUUUGUUUUUGUGGGCUGGAUUAUUUAUGUAGUGAUAGUGCUCUGUGUAUAGAAACUUUCUUCUGCAUUUAUUUGAUUAAAAAUACAGUAAAACAGGUAAAUUUUAUUAGAGUUUAAAAUAACUGUUUUCUAGGUGAAUAUAUUGUAAAAUGUAAUUUAUUCCUGUGAUUCGCAGCUGUAUUUUCAGCAUCAUUACUCCAGUCUUCAGUGUCACAUGAUCUUCAGAAAUCAGAAAUCUUCAGAUCUUCAGCACAUGAUCAUAAGGCAUCCUUGCUUAAUAAAAGUAUUAAUUUACUUUUAAAAAAAAUACUCUUACUCACCCUAAACUUUUAAAUGGUAGAGUAAUUGCUGAAGAAAAAAAUAAAUAAAAAAAACUAAGAUGUUAUUUGAAGGUACACUAUUACUUCUCAUUCUUUACUACUAUUCAGAAAUGAGGAAAAUGGUACUAAUAGUAAUGUAAACUCACCCAAAUGCAAGUACUGUAUGAGAACCCUAUACUGAUCCAAAACCAUCAUUUAAACAUUUGACUGUUUGUGUACAAUAUGUUGCAAAUGCAGACAGAACUGAAACUCCUGGAUAGCAGUAGAAGUGACUCUCAAAUGAAAAGCACAAAGUGUUGGAUUUAAAUUUUAACGUCUAACAUGUUAAACAGAUCCAACCCUGAUUUUAUUGCAUCAUGUUCUAUGAUACGUACUUUCAGAAGUCAAUCAUCUAUAGAGUUUGUAUUUACAUUCAAUCACAUGCAUUUGUUCCCUGAAACAGGAAAUGAACGACCUUUCUGUCACUGGCAAUAAACCUUGUUUUUAUUUAUUUUUUUGACUUGGUUAUGUGAAGACUAGCAUCACCUAUGAUUGCUAACAAAUUGAAUUAAGUGUACAGCCUCUAAAUGUUUGUAAUAAGCACUAUAGUGUGAGACCUAAUGUAUGUAUGUUAAACUGAAUAAAAAGUCAAACAAAAUGUAUGUCUUUAAAUGAUCAGUAAAGACCUUGAAACCGAUAUAUAGCAAUAAAAAAGGGUUUUAUUGCAUUAUUAAGAUUGAUUCUCUCCACAUGGAUUGGAGAGAAGCCAUUAAGAAGAGCAAAAGAGCAAGAAAUGACCAACAGAGGGCAUCACAGACAAGAGCUUCCUCUCAGAAGAAAACAGAAAAGAAAAGUUCAGUUUUUGGCAAUUAUACAUACAUAAACCAUAAUGAUUUACAUAAAAAUAAAAGAAAAAAAAACAAUACAGAAGUAAAAUAAAACAAUAAAUAACUAGCACACUGAACACAAAAUACUUAAUAAUUAAUAAUAAUAAUAAUAAUAAUAAUAAUAAUUAUUAUUAUUAUUAUUAUUAUUAUAAUAAAGUACACCAGUCAGAAUAAUUUGAGAGUUUAUGAAACAUGCUUUGCUCUUUAGCUGUGAUCUCAAGUGUUGCUAUUGAGACAAAAACAAGGCAAAACAUUUACAUCAGUAGACGAGACUUAAAGGAAUAGUUCACGCAAAAAUGAAAGAUUGCUGAACUUCAGAGAUGUAGAGGAGUUUGUUUCUUCAUCAUAUUUGGAGAACUGUAGAGUGGAGAUCAAAAUUAGAGAACAAUCUACAUUUUCCUAAAUUUCAAGGUCACUGCUUAGUCCUAUUUGAAGUUAUCCUAACAGGAGUAGACGGGCAGUUUUUUAAACAUAUUUCAUAAAUUAACUGUAUUCUGAAACACAGUAUAAAAAACUUAAAAGAGAUAUUUGAAAAAUUGUGAUACCACCAUGUUAUUGAUGUUAAUCCAGCACCUGGUUCUAAUUACUUUAAUUAUAUGACAAACUCUAUUUAACUGGCAGCAUUCCUCCAGUUUUCACUGAGAUUGCAAGAUUUAAAGAGAAAAGAAGGGCCGGGAAAAAUAAUAAUCUCCAUACAAGUUAUUUGUAAAUUUUUCUUUUUUCUACUUGUUACUUUGCACUUUUUGUUAGAAAAUGUUUAUUUACUAUUUAUUCAAGUUUUUUAAGGUAUCUAAUAUUUUUAUGCUCUAAUAUUUUUAUUAUUAUGCUUUUAUAUCAUGAUUAAAUAUUCAGUGGCAUAAAAAGGUCUUAUAAGGACAACAAUAUUGUUUAUCGCAGUUAUUUCUGGGGCAAUGUAUCGCACAACAAUAAAUUGUUAUCGUGACAGGCCUACUGUUUGGACUGGAGUGCUGUGGAUUAUUGUGAU
rnacentral:lncRNA from 1 species